AAGGAAAGGAAAGGAAAGGAAAGGAAAGGAAAGGAAAGGAAAGGAAGAAAAACAAACUAUUCAUAGUAGACAGUAUGUGGAAGCAAUCAAGCAUUUAUCAAUUGAUGAAUGCACAAAUAUGAUAAAUGAUAGUCAAGCAGGGGAUAUUGUCCAGCCACAAAAGUGAAUGGGGCCCCACCAACAUGGUUCUUCCACACAGACGGAUCUUGAGAACAUGCUAAGUGACAGAAGCCAGUCACCAAGCGCGCAUUCCAUUUGUAUGAAGUGUUCAGAACAGGCAAUUUCACAGACACAGAAAAUAAACUGGUGGUUGCUAGGGGGGGGGUGGAGAGUGGCAAGCAGCUGGCAAGGGCUACGGGUUUCUUUGGGGGCGAUGAAAAUGUUUUUAAAUUGACUGUGGUGCUGGUUACACAACUUUGUGGCUCUACUGAAAACCAUCAAAUUACACACUUUAGGUUGGUGGACGUCCCAAUCAAGCUAGUAUUUCUAUUGGGAAGGCACAAAAAGUGUGGUCUUCAGGAAGCAACCCUAGCCACCCCAGUCUACACUACCCCUUCCCCUGCCCCUUUGUACUGGGAUUGCUGCUUUGAGCCACCCUCUCAGGUCACCACCAGGCCCUAAAGGCAUUUCUCCUCCGAAGCUAACUCCUCCCUGAGCCAAGGUUAUCCUUUCUACCAUCUCCCUCAACAGCCCUGUAGUUUCCUAUUUGAAAGCUGGGCACAGAAGGAAGCCACAGGUUCAAAUCCAACCCAGGACUCUUUGGGCAGCAGCAGACACAGCUUUCUCGAGGCUCUGUUGCUCAUCUGGAGUAGAGUGAACGCAUAGCACCUGAGGAAGGCAGCAGCCCCUUUCAGGGAGGCAUCUCUGGUUGCCGUUCUGCCAAUAAGCCUGCAGGCAUCUUACUGCAUCUGGCCAGGCUCUUUAGGCUGAUACAGUAACCUUAUACUCUCAGACCCCAUAGGUUCCCUUUUGUGGCACUGUCCAUACACUGAAGAAACCCCUAAUAGCGUGAGUUCUACAGAACAGUCUCAGGCCUCCCUCCUGUCGCAACAGAGGCCCCCUCAAGGCUGGUCACUCACCUGCUCAGAAAAGCCACAGUUCCUCAGGAUGUCGUGAGUACCACAGCAGAACAAAUGGAAGAAGAGUGCUUUGGAAAGAGCUGGCUGUGGCGGCACACACUUGUGAACCCAGCACUCUAGAGGCUGAAGCAGGAAGAAAGCAAGUUCCCAGAAACAGUUACGCCCUGCCGAGACCACCAGCACAGGCUUCCUUCUCGACCUGUUGUGAUUGUAGUGGCUGGACUGCCAACCUGGCUGGGCAGCCCAUUGGUCAGGUCCUUUCGUGUGUAUCCGGGGAGGAGACUGAACCCGGGGCUUCAGGCUGUGAUGUCACUAACUGCCACUCAGGCCCUUCUGCUGAUGCUGUACGGAAUAGGAUUGUCACCAGAUGAGCCCUGCCCAAGCACCUGACUGGAGAAACCGUGACACAAUGGCUCUUCAGGGUGUUUCACUUGGCAGCAGGAAACAGCUUUGGUUUCCAUCUUCUUCCCAUACCUCCAGUCCUGAGGCUUUGGAGUAUAGACAUAGUGUUAUUGCAAGAUCAGUCACCCUGUGCCAUGUCCAUAAGAAGCACAAACAUCUGCCCUGGCUGAGCAGGGUUUGAGGUGACGAGCCACCAUUUCUGCAGGGAGAAGGAGCAGCUGUUAGUAAGCACCAGGGGCUGACACACAUACCCUUAUCUCUGAGGUGGAGUCUGGGCACACGCUGAGGGCUGCCUUUGUAGCUGCCUUCUUGUUGCCCAGGCAGGAGUUGAAUGCUGCCAGGCUGAGGUCUCACCUGGAUGCUCAGACAGAGAGGAAUCUGCUCCCAGGCAGGCAUAUUGGCAGGACCGAGUUCCUUAAGGGCUUUGAUCUGUCUGUCCUGAAGGAAAGGGGAAAGCCUUCUUCCUCUCAUGGGUUGAAUUUUCAUGUGUAAUUAGACAGUAGUCACUUGCCUGCACUAUGACUAGGAGAAUGUCAGACCCCGAUGGCUUCAUAGUAACAAGAACCCACACUUGGCCCGGGAGCUGUGUGUGUGUGUGUGUGUGUGUGUGUGUGACUUUUUUUUUCUUCAAUCACAUUGGGAAGGAAUGAAACCUAAUCACAAAGACACUGACACUCGCCCAGAACUACACACACAUCAUUCCCUCCUUUAUUUGUGUCACAGCUUGGGUUCACACAUGAGGAUCCUCUGACAAACACACCCGAUCUCUUACUUAGGGUGCUGUUUAAAGUCACCUUAAUUUUCAUUUAUUUAUCUAUUUAGUUACUUGCUGUGUGUGUUUGAUAUGUGGGUGUGAGUGUGGGCAUGCUUGAGCCGCGGUGCGUGUGUGGAGGUCAGAGGACGAGUGGGAGUUGGUUCUCUCUUUCUCCCACAUGGGCUAUCAAACUCAGGCUGUCAAGCUGGGUGACAGGCACCUUCACACAGCGAGUCUCCUCCCAGCUCCAUGGGGGUGGUUUUUGCAGGGCUAGUCAUACAACUAGAGUCACCAAACUCUGCUUAAAUUCAGGACUAUCGUGGGCACAUUAAAUUUCAAAGAAGCUGAUUUUUAAAAGUGUAAUUUUUGGCUAUUAUGUUGUAAAAAAAACCAAAAAACAAAACAAAACAAACAACAACACAACAAAAAAAGAAAACCAAGAACCCCAGAACAAGUAUUCUUUUAUUUUUCAAAAACCAUCAUCUGAUAACAGAGCAAAGACACUGACUUAUGUCUUUACAAUUUCCCUUUGGUAGUAAAAUCAAUUUCAUCUGUGUCACUUAUCAGUUAUUUUCAUCUGUAGCAUUUGUGUCAUUUAUCAGUUGCAAAGAGGUUGUUACAGUAACAAGAAGCUGACAAAAAAAAUCACCAAAAACAACUCGUGGAUAUGCUGUACAUUGUUUAUAUGAAGGGCAUUGUGUAUUUUAUUAUCAUUAAAAAGCAAAGCCAUGA